AGAGUUUGAUCCUGGCUCAGGACGAACGCAGGCGGCGUGCUUAACACUUGCAAGUCGGACGAGACGAUUUAGAAGCUUGCUUUUAAAGAGUCGAGUGGCAAACGGGUGAGUAACGCGUAGACAACCUGCCUUUGAGAUGGGGACAACAGUCCGAAAGGACUGCUAAUACCGAAUGUUGUAACUUCCUCGCAUGAAGGAGAUACUAAAGAUGGCCUCUACUUGUAAGCUAUCGCUCAAAGAUGGGUCUGCGUCUGAUUAGCUUGUUGGCGGGGUAACGGCCCACCAAGGCGACGAUCAGUAGCCGGUCUGAGAGGAUGAACGGCCACAUUGGAACUGAGACACGGUCCAGACUCCUACGGGAGGCAGCAGUGGGGAAUCUUCCGCAAUGGGCGCAAGCCUGACGGAGCAACGCCGCGUGGGUGAAGAANGGUUUCGGCUCGUAAAGCCCUGUUGUCGGGGACGAAUGUCAGUGCCUUGAACAAGGCAUUGAAUUGACGGUACCUGACGAGGAAGCCNCAGNUAACUACGUGUCAGCU
rnacentral:rRNA from 1 species